rnacentral:rRNA from 1 species
AGCAGCCGCGGUAAUUCCAGCUCCAAUAGCGUAUAUUAAAGUUGUUGCAGUUAAAAAGCUCGUAGUUGAAUUUCGGGGUUCCACCGUUGGUCGGGCUAUUGUCUGUACUGGCGUGUGGAAUUUCUACCUUCUGGGGAACUAUCAUGUUAUUAAUUUAGCGUGGUAGGAAACCAGGACCUUUACCUUGAAAAAAUUAGAGUGUUCAAAGCAGGCUUAUGUCUGAAUACAUUAGCAUGGAAUAAUAAAAUAGGACGGUGGUCCUGUUUUGUUGGUUUCUGAAUCACCGUAAUGAUUAAUAGGGAUAGUUGGGGGCAUUAGUAUUCAAUUGUCAGAGGUGAAAUUCUUGGAUUUAUUGAAGACUAACUACUGCGAAAGCAUUUGCCAAGGAUGUUUUCAUUAAUCAAGAACGAAAGUUAGGGGAUCGAAGACGAUCAGAUACCGUCGUAGUCUUAACCAUAAACUAUGCCGACUAGGGAUCGGAUGAUGUUAUUUUUAAUGACUCAUUCGGCGCCUUACGGGA